AUUGAACGCUGGCGGCAGGCUUAACACAUGCAAGUCGAGCGAGCGGCGGACGGGUGAGUAAUGUCUGGGAAACUGCCUGAAGGAGGGGGAUAACUACUGGAAAAGGUAGCUCAUACCGCAUACCAUCAGAUGUGCCCAGAUGGGAUUAGCGAGGAGGUGGGGUAAUGGCUCACCUAGGCGACGAUCCCUAGCUGGUCUGAGAGGAUGACCAGCCACACUGGCACUGAGCCACGGUCCAUCCGCCUACGGGAGGCAGUAUGGGGGAAUAUUGCACAAUGGGCGCAAGCCUGAUGCAGCCAUGCCGCGUGUGUGAAGAAGGCCUUCGGGUGGUAAAGCACUUUCAGCGAGGAGGCGUUACUCGCAGAAGAAGCACCGGCUAACUCCGUGCCAGCCGCCGCGGUAAUUC
rnacentral:rRNA from 1 species